CCUGGGACCUGGCGGACGCCGAGGUCGUGUGCCGGCAGCUGGGGCGCGGCUGGGCUGUGGACGCUCUGGCGGGGGCCGCCUUCUGACCAGGCUCGGGGCCCGUGUGGCUGGAUGAGGUGGGGUGCCGGGGCAGUGAGGCCUUGCUGUGGGGCUGCCCAGCGGAGCCAUGAGUCCACGGAGACUGCGGGCACAAGGAGGACGCGGGCGUGCGCUGUGCAGGUGACAGAGAAGCCGUCACCCUAUGUUCAACAUCGGUGCAGGCGGGGCUCUUCAUAGCCUGGGCCUUCUCACACCUCAGGCUGGGAAGAAGACCCCAGUGGCCUGUGCCCCGGGGCGUGCUGACCACGAGCCGGCUCCAGGGGACAUCAGCGAGACCAGGGCAAGGGAGAGGCCAGUGUGCCUGGGGCUUUCAUCCUCCUUGUUUCUUAAAGAGUUUUAUUAAAUGUCUCAUCCAUAAUUCAUCUCAGUCACUCAGACGCCCACCACGGCCUGGGGUCUGUUUC
ensembl:lncRNA